rnacentral:lncRNA from 1 species
UUUCUUGGAGACCAGACUAGGAUGAUCCACCUGUCUCUGCCUCCCGUUUAAAGGGCUAUGCUCUCCCGUCUGGCUUUGGAUUUUUGAAGGUUUAUUUUAGUUUUAAUUGUGUGAUGUGUAUUCUCCGUGUUUGCUUUGUGCACACAAGCGCUGGGCCUUGAGGAGACCAGAGGUGUCAGAUCCUAAGCAGUUGGAGUUACAGGUGGUCCCGAGCCUUCUGACGUAGGUGCUGGGAACUUAACCCGCGUCCUGUGCAAGAGCAGGGACCCUCCUCACUACUGAACCGCCUCUCCAACCCCCAAGCUUUUUCCAUCUUUAAUCUUAGAGUUCAUGGAAUAGAAAGGCUUAAAAAUGGAACUUUUUUUCUUUAAGAUUUACUUACUUACUUAUUUUAUAUAUUGUGAGUACACUCUCACUGUGUUCAGACACUCUCACCAGAAGAGGGCAUCGGAUCCCAUUACAGAUGGUUGUGAGCCACCAUGUGCUUGCUGGGAUUCGAACUCAGGACCUCUGGAAGAGUCAGUGCUCUUAACCGCUGAGCCACCUCUCCAGCCCUGUUUGCCGUUUUUCGACGCAGGGUUUCUCUGUGUAGUCUUCGCUGUCCUGGAACUCACUCUAUAGACCAGGCUGACAUCAAACUCAGAGAUCUGCCUGCCUCUGCCUCCUGGGUGCUGGGAUUAAAGGUGUAUGCCAAUGGGUUCAGCUGAACACACUCUCCCAGCGAAUCUGUUGCCCUGGAGCCUCUUGUGGUCUCCCCAGGG